rnacentral:rRNA from 1 species
UUAAUUUUUAUUCUUACUUUUAUAUAUGAAGAAUAUUUUAGAGAAAUAUCUUUGAUUUUAGUAUAUUAAAGAAUUAAUUUAAAUAGUGAUAGUUUAUUAGUACUGUGAAGGAAUUUAGAUGAAAAAUUUUGAAAAUUUAAUUUUUUUUAAGUAAACUUUACUUGUUGUACCUUUAGUAUCAGGGUUAAUUAAAUAUUAUUAAUGUAUUUUUUUAAUUUCUCGAUUUCAGAAGAGCUAUUGAAUGAUUUAUUUGAUGUUGCAUAAUCAUUGAAAAUGUUGAAUUAGAGGAGAAAUUCUAUUCGUUUUUAAAGGUAUCUAGUUUUUUAAGAAAUAAAUUUAAUUUAGACUUUUAAAUUUAAUUUAUUUAUUUUGAAAUAAAUUAUUUUAUGAGUUUAAAAUUUUAGGGGAUAAGCUCUAAUUUUAUUCUAUAAAUAGAAAUUAUAAAAAAUUUUUGUAGGGUUAAGAACAUCCAUCAUUGAAGAGUACGUUAUAGUUUAAAUUAAUAGAAUUUGAUUUUCUUUAUUUUAGUAUUUUAUUAAAAUAUUAAAUUUAAUUGAUAUUUUUAGGUAAUAAUGAUUGAAUUAGUAUAAUUUAUAUGUAUUUAUAUUUUAUUAUUUGGGAUAACUUUAUAAGGAACUCGGCAAAUUAGCGCUCGCCUGUUUAACAAAAACAUGUCUUCUUGACUGGAUAAUAAGAAGUCUGACCUGCCCAGUGAAAAAUUAUUUAACGGCCGCGGUAUUUUGACCGUGCAAAGGUAGCAUAAUCAUUAGUCUUUUAAUAGAGGGCUGGUAUGAAAGGUUUGACGAGGUGCUGACUGUCUCAUUUAAUUUGAAAUUAAAAUUUAACUUUUCAGUCAAAAGGCUGAAAUAAUAUUGGAAGACGAGAAGACCCUAUAGAGCUUUAUAUUUAAUUUUAUUAAUAAUUUUUUGAAUAUUAAUUUUUAUUAUUAAUUUAGGUAUUUUGUUGGGGUGACAAAAAUAUAAAAUUAACUUUUUUAUCUAUUAAACAUUAAUUUAUGGUUAUUAGAUCCAAUCUUAUUGAUUGUUAGAAUAAGUUACCUUAGGGAUAACAGCGUAAUCUUCCUCCAGAGUUCAUAUUUACAGGAAGGCUUGCGACCUCGAUGUUGGAUUAAGAUAAUAAUUAGGUG